rnacentral:rRNA from 1 species
GACAGAGGGUGCGAACGUUGUUCGGAAUUACUGGGCGUAAAGCGUGCGCAGGCGGUGAUGUAAGACAGGGGUGAAAUCCCCGGGCUUAACCUGGGAACUGCAUUUGUGACUGCAUCGCUGGAGUGCGGCAGAGGGGGAUGGAAUUCCGCGUGUAGCAGUGAAAUGCGUAGAUAUGCGGAGGAACACCGAUGGCGAAGGCAAUCCCCUGGGCCUGCACUGACGCUCAUGCACGAAAGCGUGGGGAGCAAACAGG